UCAAGCUACAAAGGGCGCAAGGGGAAUGCCUUGGCACCAGGAGCCGACGAAGGACGCAGCGAUCUGCGAAAAGCCACGGUGAGCCGAAAGCAGGCAUCGACCCGUGGAUUUCCGAAUGGGGAAACCCGGCAGAUGAAGAAUCUGUCAACCUGUGCUGAAUAAAAUAGGCACAGGUGGGGAACCGCCUGAACUGAAACAUCUAAGUAGGGCGAGGAAGAGAAAUCAACCGAGAUUCCGUAAGUAGUGGCGAGCGAACGCGGAAGAGGCUAAACCGAGAGUAGCAAUAUUCUCGGGGUUUUGGACAGUAAACGGCAUUGCGGUAUCUUAGCAGAAGUGCAUGGGACGGCACACCAUAGAAAGUGACAGUCUUGUAUGCGAAAAGAGAAGGCAGCCAACUGUAUCCGGAGUACCGCCGGACACGUGAAACCCGGUGGGAAGACGGGGGGACCAUCCUCCAAGCCUAAAUACUCCCUGGUGACCGAUAGCGCAAAGUACUGUGAAGGAAAGGUGAAAAGAACCCCGGGAGGGGAGUGAAAAGAACCUGAAACCUUGUGCCUACAAGCACCGAAAGCCCGUCAAUGGGUGAUCGGGUACCUUUUGUAGAAUGGUCCGGCGAGUGAAUGUAACCGGCAAGGUUAAGGACUUAAGGUCCGGAGCCGAAGCGAAAGCAAGUCUGAAUAGGGCGUCAAGUCGGUUGUAUUCGACCCGAAACCGGGUGACCUACCCAUGAGCAGGCUGAAGUGGAGGUAAAACUCCAUGGAGGGCCGAACCCACUCCCGUUGAAAUGGUAGGGGAUGACUUGUGGGUAGCGGAGAAAUUCCAAUCGAACCCGGAGAUAGCUGGUUCUCUCCGAAAUAGCUUUAGGGCUAGCCUCGACCGAACAUUACCGGAGGUAAAGCACUGAAUGAGCUAGGGGCCGAGAGGUUACUGAACUCUAUCAAACUCAGAAUGCCGGAUAAUGAUGGUCGGGAGUCAGACAGUGUGAGAUAAGUUUCAUUGUCGAAAGGGAAACAGCCCAGACCCACAGCUAAGGUCCCAAAGUACGGUUAAGUGGAAAAGGAUGUGGGAUUGCACAGACAACCAGGAUGUUGGCUUAGAAGCAGCCACGCAUUAAAAGAGUGCGUAAUAGCUCACUGGUCGAGUGAUCCUGCGCCGAAAAUUUAACGGGGCUAAAUCGUACACCGAAGCUUGGGAUUCUAGAUGUUAGACAGUAGACACUAGAAGCUGGAUGAGCAGGAGGUAGCAAGGCGUGCAACAGGAAGCGAGCGGAUAUCGCAAUCUGCAAGUGUAUGAAAGAUCAUACAAAGCCAUUGGCGGUAUAUGCAAUGACAAAAAGUUAUCCCGAAGAAGAAAAGUACGGGUUAACGAGUCAAAUGCGGCGCGCGUGCACGUCGAUACCACUGAACAUCGCGGAAGGUUAUGCAAAGCGAAGCAGCCAGGAGGAAUUCAAACGAUUCCUCUUGAUGGCUGUCGGCUCAGCAAACGAGAUGAGCGUUUUGCUGGAUUUUGCAAAGGACUUAGGGUAUACAUCUGAGAGCACCUAUGCAGAACUCAGCAGAGCAUAUGAUGAAAUCGGAAGAAUGCUGAGCAGCUUUAUCAAGCGCAUACAAGUAGGAUAAAGCAUAAUCUAGAAUCUAGUAUCUAGCGUCUAGCAUCUAGAAUGGUAGGAGAGCGUCGUGUAAGGGGUGAAGUCAGAGCGCAAGCGCUGGUGGACUUUACACGAGUGAGAAUGCCGGAAUGAGUAGCGAGAUUUAUGUGAGAAUCAUAAAGGCCGAAAGACUAAGGUUUUAGAAGGAAGGUUCGUCCGCUUCUAGUUAGCCGGGAGCUAAGGCGAGGCCGAAAGGCGUAGUCGAUGCACAUACGGUGGAGAUUCCGUAGCCGCCACCCCUUUAAGCAGAGGGACACUUUUGAAGGGCAUGAGCCGGGCGUUGGUAGACCCGGUCGAAAGGGACCGAAAUUAGAGUAGGGAAGCAUGCUUGGAAGAAGGCGAGAAAAGCUCUGUGUAUAGAAGGUGGCGCCCGUACCGCAAACCGACACAGGUAGUCAGGAAGAGGAUUCUAAGGCCAACGGGAGAAGGGUAGUUAAGGAACUCGGCAAAUUGACCCCGUAACUUCGGAAUAAGGGGUGCUCACGAGAGUGAGCCGCAGUGAAUAGGUCCAGGCGACUGUUUAUCAAAAACACAGCUCUCUGCUAAAUCGAAAGAUGAUGUAUAGGGGGUGACACCUGCCCGGUGCCGGAAGGUUAAGAGGAAGGGUGCAAGCUCUGAAUUGAAGCCCCGGUAAACGGCGGCCGUAACUAUAACGGUCCUAAGGUAGCGAAAUUCCUUGUCGGGU
rnacentral:rRNA from 1 species